rnacentral:rRNA from 1 species
CGCGUAGGUGGUAGUGCAAGUCUGGGGUGGAAUCCUGCGGCUUAACCGCAGAACUGCCUUGGAAACUGUAUUACUUGAGUCAGUGAGGGGAGGGUAGAAUUCCUGGUGUAGCGGUGAAAUGCGUAGAUAUCAGGAGGAAGGCCGGUGGCGAAGGCGGCCCUCUGGCGCUGAACUGACACUGAGGCGCGAAAGCGUGGGUAGCAAACAGGAUUAGACACCCUGGUAGUCCACGCCCUAAACGGUGGGUACUAGGUGUAGGGCUCGUAAGGGUUCUGUGCCGAAGGGAAACCAUUAAGUACCCCGCCUGGGGAGUACGGCCGCAAGGUUGAA